rnacentral:rRNA from 1 species
GAAGCUGGCGGCAGGCUUAACACAUGCAAGUCGAACGAUAUAGUGGCAGACGGGUGAGUAACGCGUGGGAACGUACCUUUCACUACGGAAUAGCUCUUGGAAACGAGUGGUAAUACCGUAUACGCCCUCCGGGGGAAAGAUUUAUCGGUGAAAGAUCGGCCCGCGUUAGAUUAGCUAGUUGGUAGGGUAAUGGCCUACCAAGGCGACGAUCUAUAGCUGGUCUGAGAGGAUGAUCAGCCACACUGGGACUGAGACACGGCCCAGACUCCUACGGGAGGCAGCAGUGGGGAAUCUUGCACAAUGGGCGAAAGCCUGAUGCAGCCAUGCCGCGUGAAUGAUGAAGGCCUUAGGGUUGUAAAAUUCUUUCGCUAGGGAUGAUAAUGACAGUACCUAGUAAAGAAGCCCCGGCUAACUUCGUGCCAGCAGCCGCGGUAAUACGAAGGGGGCUAGCGUUGUUCGGAAUUACUGGGCGUAAAGCGCACGUAGGCGGACUUUUAAGUCAGGUGUGAAAUCCCAGGGCUCAACCCUGGAACUGCAUUUGAAACUGGAAGUCUAGAGACCAGGAGAGGUUAGCGGAAUACCGAGUGUAGAGGUGAAAUUCGUAGAUAUUCGGUGGAACACCAGUGGCGAAGGCGGCUAACUGGACUGGUACUGACGCUGAGGUGCGAAAGUGUGGGGAGCAAACAGGAUUAGAUACCCUGGUAGUCCACACCGUAAACGAUGAGAGCUAUUUGUUGGCAGGCAUGCCUGUCAGUGACCCACCUAACGCAUUAAGCUCUCCGCCUGGGGAGUACGGCCGCAAGGUUAA